rnacentral:rRNA from 1 species
CCAAUAGCGUAUAUUAAAGUUGUUGCAGUUAAAAAGCUCGUAGUUGAACUUCGGGGUUCACCCAUUGGUCAGGCUUAAUUGUUUGCACUGGUGAGAUGAGUCUCUACCUUCUGAGGAACUUUCAUGCCAUUUAUUUGGUGUGAUGGGAAAUCAGGACUGUUACUUUGAAAAAAUUAGAGUGUUUAAAGCAGGCUAACGUCUGAAUACAUUAGCAUGGAAUAAUGAAAUAGGACGGACUGAUUCUAUUUCGUUGGUUUCUAGGAUCACCGUAAUGAUUAAUAGGGAUAGUUGGGGGCAUUAGUAUUCAAUUGUCAGAGGUGAAAUUCUUGGAUUUAUUGAAGACUAACUACUGCGAAAGCAUUUGCCAAGGAUGUUUUCAUUAAUCAAGAACGAAAGUUAGGGGAUCGAAGACGAUCAGAUACCGUCGUAGUCUUAACCAUAAACUAUGCCGACUAGGGAUCGGGCGAAGUUAAUUUUAUAAUGACGCGUCCGGCACCUUACG